ACAUUCUUCGUUUUUCUAUCAGAAACAAGAUGAUUUCUAUAAGGUGUUCAUUUUACCACCCCUUCCCCAACAGAGACGAAGCGCGUUUGUGGUACAACACAAGGUUCAAACCAAAGUUGCACAUCGGUUCUGUUCAUGGGAAGACUGCUUUUAUGUCAAUCAUCCCUCCCUGAUGGUAAUUCUGGCUACGCUCAUGGGAGAGCCCCUUUGAGAGCGCUAGUAAAAAUAUUACAUUUGAGUCUGUACUACUUUAACCGUGCCAUUUAUGGGAAAAUGGGCCGUAGUCUAGGUAACGACUACCAUGGAAAGGCGUUGUUUACGGUUAUUAUACACAAAAAAUAAGCCUACAAAGAUGGAUGAGCUGGGAGAGUGUUCAAAUCUUUCAACUACUUUUUCAUCUGAAGCCAAGGACGAUUUGAUUCAGCAAAGGAUUCAACACAUUCGUAAGCAGCUGGACGACACAUAUAAUUUGUUCAUCAACGCCAAAGAUGCUCUAUCCACCAUAACGUUCGACAACCUCAAUGAUAAGCUGUGCAACGAGGCAGUGAUGUCACACGACGCGAAAGAUGUGCUAGUGGUCGGUACUGACAGUAAAAUAGACGUUGCCAAAUCCCUGGAAAAUCUCAACAACACACCAAGAGGUUCCAGAAACACCGGAAAGUAUGAAGAUAUUCCUGAAUUGAACAAGUUCUUCAACGUGAUGGCGGACCUCAAGGAAGGCAUAAAGAACAUAUCUAAACAUCAGGAAUCCAUAGCAGAACUGAAUUCAGAUAUUGAUAACAUCAUGGAUCAAGUAUCCGUCCGUUCAGUUGAAGAUCAGCUUGAAAGCAUUUCUUUGGAGGAUACUACCCAUCAAUCUACCAAAUAAACUUACCAUCACAGUUAGUUUUGCAGUGCAUUGCAUCGGCAUCUUCGCUUCCUGGUUCACCGGAAUGUUGGUCUUCUGUGCAGGAGUUCUCCCGUGAACGGUUAUAAACGUUAUUCCACAGGCUUCUAGCUGGCGGCACAUAUCAAUUGUGGCGCUCAACGAUUUCUGCAACAACCGUACCUUGACAGAAACACUGAACGUGCUCGGCAGGUUUCUUCGCACGGUGCACAACAUGUCGGCAAUCAGUUCUGGUGUCCUCAGCAGUGCACUGCCAUAUCCAUCCUGCAUGGCCCAUCGUUGGGGGCAUCCACAGUUCAGAUCUACUCCAUCUACAUAUCUGCAUUUUGAAGCUAUAAUUAGUUAACUUAUCUAGUUGCCCUUAAUUUAUUGGACUUACGGAAAUGCCAUCUCGGUGGCGGAAAGGAAGUCCACGGCGUUUUUAGCAGCAAAUUGCGCAAUUACUGGUGUGUCAUCUAGAAAUCACAAAUUUGUUACUUUAAUUUAAGUUUUUCAACGUAGUACAAUAAACUUAUUAAACUAGCCUCUGUUUGUCGUAAACUCAUUGAGUCUAGCUUUUUCACUUUGACAGAAAGAAUCUGCCAUUAUCAUACUGGUGAAGGUGAGAUCAGUUCCA